GGUGGGGGGACGGGGGAAACUGGGGAAGAUGUGUGUGCUGGAGGAGAGGCGUAGGGGCCGAGGAGCACCUCGGCCGUCUGGAGUCUGGCAAGGGUGGUGAAGGUGGAGGGAUUAGAUCCUGGAGGGAAGGAAGAAGGAGCCAGACAUUCAUCCCGGUCAUUUUUGGUUACAGGACGUGGUGGCUGGUCGGACAAGGGGGAGCUGCUGGUCAGGGUUCGACCCCCAAGCCUGGGUGGAGAAGUAGCUGGCAACAGUGGGCAGGUGAGGGCUGCGUCUGCUGGGCAGGUGAGUCCGCUUCACCUUCCUGGACCUCGCUUCCCUGGCUUCUGAAUGAAAGAGGUUUAGGGAGCGAGGGCCAGCAAGGAGAAGUGGCAGGCCUCCUGCAAAGCAGCGGAUGAAGGCAGAACGGUUAGCAAAGGUGACAUCUUCUCGGGGGGAGCCGAGACGGAGCAAAGCUGGGGGGGCUAUGGGCCUUUCCCAGGGGAAAGAGCAAGUUAAGAGGGCAGAAUGGAAAGAAUAGAGGGAUGCCAGCAGGGCCAAGGCUGCUGUCUUCAGGAAGGUCACCUUGGGGACAGUAGCAGGGGCCACAGGGAUCCAGCACGUGUGGGCCCAGGUCAAACAUCAGGGUGGGGUCACAGGACACAGAGGGGUCCCCAGCCAUCACCACAUCCCACUGCAAUUCACUUAGAAGAAGGUAUAGGAGCGGCUCUGGGUGGGCUUUUCAUGGCCUGCACUGGAGCCUCGAGGGCCGGAGAGCGGGAAAGAAGGGCAGUGCAGCAGGACAUCAUCGGGGAGGAACGGUGGCCAUGGGUGGUGGGCUCCGGAGAGAUUUCGCAGCAAGGAGGCUGCAGCGAGCCCAGCCUGUGGAUUCACAGUUCCCACACAGCACUGCGGCCCAGGACCUGGCGCGGAGAGGGCCCACAGUGGACUUGGUGACACUGUAUGCCCUAACCGCUCAGCCCCUGGGUCCGGCAUGACAGACAGAACAGCACCAGGGGAGUCAAGGGCACAAGGCAAGGCCAGACUAGGCGAGGCAGGCGGGGCGGAGUGGGUGAGCACUCUUAGGAGGGAGGUUGGGUGCAGACAGGGUGAGGUUCAACAGUCGGGGAGCGAGCCAGCAAGGCACUGGCCUCCAGAGCCUGUGGCCAAGGUGGGCCUCGCAGGUGACGACGGAGCAGUGAUCGGUGCCUCUGCAACUCGUACUGGAGAUGAGGCCAGAUCUCCAGAAAGGCGGAUGUGCCUGCCAGCCUGAAGGCCAGGAUGCAGGUGCGACAGAUACGCUAAGAGGAAGUGAUAUGGUCCGGUGUGAUGGUGAGGCCAGAGGGACUGCUUCCUGGCCUUCCUGAACAUUCUCGGCUGGCAACGUGGAGACACUUCCACGAGGUCUGUUCCUUUGCUUUUCCGAAAGAGCUACCACUGCUGCUCUCUGGACCCCCAAGAACCCUCAAAAUGAAAGAAAUGGUGCUACCCAGCUCAUGCCUGGGACUUGGAACUGAGGACUUCUUCAAGUCUAUCUAGCUCUGGAUCAAGAAUAUGCUGCAUCCGGAACCACUACACUAAGUGACUCAGGAAUCGGCUCUGGAAGGUAGAGCUAAAGGAACAGCCUCAGGAACACCAUGGAAGAGCAGACCACAGCACUCCCCACCCCGGCAACUCCAUCUUCAUGGCCAGCCCCUGCUGCAUUCGGGAGACCACCACCCCACACGCCAUCCCGGAACUGAGCCUCUUCCGCAGGAUGGAGCAGUCAUCAUCGCCUCUCUCUUCUGUUCUUUUUCAGCCUUUCCUGUUCUCAUUUCAUUUCUCAUCUUCUUUCCAUUUCUUGAGAGAUUCAAAGCGUCCAUGACUCUGUUUCCCCACUUGUCCCCUUUGAAUUCAAUUUGCACUAAGUCGUUUGCACUGGUUGGAGUCCUGGAGACAGCAUUGAGUCUCUCCGUGUGUGUGCGUGUGUGAGUGUGUAUGUGUGUGUAUUCCUCCUUGACCACACUGCCUCAGUGCCUGCUUGUUCACCCACCGCUGGCAGGCACUGGGUGUGGUGUGGGCUGUGUGCGUGAGGUCUCGCCUUCCCCCACCUAGUCUGGAAGCUCCACACCAACGAGCCAUCUCUAAGCAUUCCAUGACACCAAUCUUGCCUUGUGUCCCUCCCCACCAGGGCUUCACCAGAAGCUCUGGAUCCACAAUAAAUACCGUUACAGUA